UUUAUUGUUAAUCUUUAUUGAACUGAAUUUGUGAUCACUUAGGAGACAUGUCUCUGGGUUUGUCUUAGAGGACGUUUCUUGAGAAGUUUAACUGGGCCAGGAAGAGCCAAAAUGAGAGUGUUUUUCAAUAACUCUCUCUAUCAUCAACCAAGAUGGACAAGAAGGGGAGAGUGAGGUCUGGAAACCUCACCCCAGGUUCCAGGGUGUAAGCAAGAUUUCUGAGAUGCCAGAUGCAGAGGGAGGUGGGUAGAUAUUCCAAUACCUUGC
rnacentral:lncRNA from 1 species